rnacentral:rRNA from 1 species
GAUGAACGCUGGCGGCGUGCCUAAUACAUGCAAGUCGAGCGAACAGAUGAGGAGCUUGCUCCUCUGACGUUAGCGGCGGACGGGUGAGUAACACGUGGAUAACCUACCUAUAAGACUGGGAUAACUUCGGGAAACCGGAGCUAAUACCGGAUAAUAUAUUGAACCGCAUGGUUCAAUAGUGAAAGACGGUUUUGCUGUCACUUAUAGAUGGAUCCGCGCCGCAUUAGCUAGUUGGUAAGGUAACGGCUUACCAAGGCGACGAUGCGUAGCCGACCUGAGAGGGUGAUCGGCCACACUGGAACUGAGACACGGUCCAGACUCCUACGGGAGGCAGCAGUAGGGAAUCUUACGCAAAGGGCGAAAGCCUGACGGAGCAACGCCGCGUGAGUGAUGAAGGUCUUCGGAUCGUAAAACUCUGUUAUUAGGGAAGAACAAAUGUGUAAGUAACUAUGCACGGCUUGACGGUACUUAAUAAGAAAGCCACGGCUAACUACGUG